GCGGGGGUACCCAAGCCAGGUCUAAAUAGAAAGGGUCAGAACGCCCAAUCCUCUGGCGUAGGCCGUCGUGGGUUCAAAUCCCACCCCCCGCACCA
rnacentral:tRNA from 1 species